rnacentral:rRNA from 1 species
AGUGAACGCUGGCGGUAGGCCUAACACAUGCAAGUCGAACGGCAGCACAGUAAGAGCUUGCUCUUACGGGUGGCGAGUGGCGGACGGGUGAGGAAUACAUCGGAAUCUACUUUUUCGUGGGGGAUAACGUAGGGAAACUUACGCUAAUACCGCAUACGACCUACGGGUGAAAGCAGGGGAUCUUCGGACCUUGCGCGAUUGAAUGAGCCGAUGUCGGAUUAGCUAGUUGGCGGGGUAAAGGCCCACCAAGGCGACGAUCCGUAGCUGGUCUGAGAGGAUGAUCAGCCACACUGGAACUGAGACACGGUCCAGACUCCUACGGGAGGCAGCAGUGGGGAAUAUUGGACAAUGGGCGCAAGCCUGAUCCAGCCAUACCGCGUGGGUGAAGAAGGCCUUCGGGUUGUAAAGCCCUUUUGUUGGGAAAGAAAAGCAGCAGGUUAAUACCCCGCUGUUCCGACGGUACCCAAAGAACAAGCACCGGCUAACUUCGUG